CCGUGACGUUGAAGGAGUUUAGGGACUUGAAUCUGGUUCCUGAUCCCCAUCAAAUUGGUGUGGAGGCCAGUACCUCGCAAAUUCUGGGUCUUGACUAAUGUCUUGGAAUACUCUCUGGCACAGUCACUCGAUAAACUCAGAGUGGAAAGUAGAAGCUUUAUUAAAGGACAGUAGAAAAGACUUCUUCCCGGAGGAAGAAGGGGACCCAAGAGAUGGAAUCCAUCAUUUGGUUCUUAAUGGAUGCAUGAACUGAAACACUAAUCAUAUAUUUUGCUGGAGGUGGAAUAGUUUCUCAUUAACACAUCAGGAGUGAAAGAAUGUUCUACUUAAUCCACAUCUAUAUCAGGUUCUGAAAUGGCCCAAGGAAAGUUAUUGGUUUGGGGCAAGAAUAAAUCCUGUAGGUAAUUUAGUAGUUUAAACAGUGUCUAAAUUCAAUUGCCAAAGAACAUUGUCAACUUAGAUUGUAACCGGAAUUGCCUGAUAAACCUGUUUUAUUGCUGCCUGAAUCCUAGUCCUGUAUAUUACUAUCCGUAUGUUGCUCUGAAGUAUAGCCUGGUCAUAAUUACUUUCACUAGCUCUCUAGGUGAUUCUCACCUAAGAAAAAAAGGAAAACUACUAACACAGAGUGGUAACCUCUCAAACUUAAUCAUGAAUUGGUCUCCUGGAGGGAUUAUUAAGAUUGCUGGUUGCCAUAUAUAUAACUGAUACUGGUACCUGAAAUCAUAAGUUUAAAUCCUGUUAUUACCACCUCUAUAAUCUUAGGAAAAUACUCUCUGUAGUCUCUUUAUAGCAAUACUUAGAUCUCAGAGCUGUGAGACAUAAAUAGUGUACCAAUCAGUCUCCUGGAGGGAUUAUUAUAACAGAUUGCUGGUUGCCACACUCAGAGACUCUCAGUAGGUCUACAAUGAAGCCUAAAAAUUGCUUUUCUAACAAGUUUCCCAGUAGUGAUGCUUUUUGCCCAGAAACCUCCCUUUGAGCACCACUGGUACAGUUUCUGGCACAGAAUGCAAAAACAAAUAUUAACUUCCUUUUUCCAUUAUACAUAGCAAGAUGGACCAAUGAUUACACUAAGAUGUUUGCACAGAAGUUAAUACUUCACAGGAAAAGCAGCCCAUCUAAUGAAAAUUACAUGUAUAAUCAUGACAAGUAUGAGAAAUAUUUUAAAGUACAGGGCAUUAAAAAUACCUGCAUCCCGUUUUUCAAAGCUUCAUUAUAAUUUAGGUGGUAGGAAUAUUAAAAACAGUAUUAAGUAUUAGGAAUAUUAGGUUCAAUCUAUAAAGAAUAUGAAUUUUUUUACACCAUAUAAUGGAUUCUGAUACCUCAUCCAUGGUAAUAAUUUGUUUUCCAUAGAAUUAGAAGAACAUAAUAAAUAGCAAUACUUGCAUCAAACUUUAAUAUUUUGGUCUUUAAAUGCUAUUUAAUUUCCAAGAAAACCUGUAAUAUAAGUGCAUAAGAAUCCUAUUACCACAAAACAAAAAUACUGAUGAUGGGAUAGGUGGCUUUUUAUUUACAUAUACUAACAAGUAAAAAAGCAAAUCUCUUUUCUGCUUUCCAUUUGCUUCACUUUGUAUGUCCCAAGGUCUUUCAUGAAUUAAUGUCUAAACCCUGAGGUGAAUACUGGGAGGUUAAACAGGCCACUAUAGAAGUAGUUGCACAUGCCUUGCCAUCAGAUAUAGGGAAAGCACCAGACAUUGGGCCUUCAUGGUGGGCUGGUUAAAAUAAUAACUGGAUACUGUUGGUUUUUCUCUAUGGAACCUACAACGAGUCUCAAAAAGUACUGAAUAGUUCAGGUUGGAAGGCAUAAGUUAGGAUUGUUUAAAGCAUGUUUCUUCCUAUGUUAAUAAUUGACCCAGAGGCAAGAUCUUACUGGAACUUUUUAUUUUGAAAGGCCUUCCCUUUCCAUUUAGCCCGAUGCCAUUAAAACACAAAUUUCCUUUUCUGAACUCUCUAGAAAAUAAAACUGAUGACCACCUGUAGAUCUUCAUUGCUGCUUCAUGUUCUCCAUGGUCCUAUUUCUUUUCAUUACUAUUUUCAAUUAUUACUUAAUCUGACAAUAAACUUUUCAUCUAUUUAUGAAUUUUCUUAACUAGACUGUGAACUCUUAUUUAAGAGUCCUUAACUUGUGCCCUUUCCUCAAGUGCUUCAAUUCUAACUUUUUUCUUUUGCUUCCUGCAAUAUAAACUUGACACCAACUUACACUCCCCUGUUUAUGUGUCUAAUUCCAUUUAAAGCUUUCUCUUCCCAACUGGAACCAAAAAAACCCUUUAGGAUGAAAGUAAAUAUUUCACUUCUUUGUAAGAGCAUCUCAACAAAGCUGAUGUCCAAUCAAUUUUAUUAAAUAACUGUUAAUUUGUCCAUGCUAAAAACUGGAUACAAUUUAUUACCUGAGGAAAAUUCCUCAUCAUCUUAAGUCACAAUGAUAUAAAGCCUCCAGUCUGGUUGGUAUAUUUGGAGAAUGGGAAUGACUUUCUAAGGCUAAGCCUUAGUUCAGUUAUUCUCAGUGCUUUAAAACCAACACUUAAAUAAGAUGGGUCCCAUGUCACCAAUAUCCCCCGUAUUCCCUAGCAUCCAUUCAUCCAUAUUUUCUUUCCAGGCUUUCCCCAGGAAACAGCCAUCAAAUAUCCCUAACCCUAAACAAACAAAACUCAUUUCCUCCCAGUCUCUGAAAAAUUGCUUAUUUUAAUGUAUUAAAAGCCACACUCAUUGUUUGGAGCCUUUCAAAAAGCUAGUAAUUCAGGCCUUCUCAUAUUCCCUAAAUCAGAAACAGAGCUGAUUUCAUGCUUAUCCUGUCCAGGAGGCAGUUCCUUUUCUCAGGUUUUUUCCUGUUACUAGAAACCAAAAAGAUUGGUAGAUUGCCUGAGAGGGUUCAGAUUCCUCCUUGAAGGCACUAUCUUUUGUCCUUUCAGAAGUUGUCUUGAUGGGUUGGUUUGGUCCCACUGCCAUAUCCCUGACCACAAUCAUCCCCAUUGAUCCUUUAACAGUACUGUGAGGUAUCAAAAAAAUCCACUAGUAUAGCCACAAAUUGGUAAGACUUAUCUUUAUAUCUCAAAGUUUUUUGAACUGAUUGACCUGAGCAGAGCUGUCUUAUACCAAAUUUACCUCUACUUCAUCUUAGCUAGUAUGAAAAGAAAUAUUGUUCUGAUUUUUAAUUAGUUGCUUUAGUUAUUGUUUUUUAAAUGACUUUGAUUAGGAUGCCCUUUGAAAGUUCAACUUCCUGUUUCCCAUUACAUAUGUUCUGCAAAUAGCUAUUUAAAAGUUCUUCAAUUAAGAUUAGCCCUUAUAUACAGAAAUCUAGAAACCACAGAACAGUUUUCUCACCUCUUUAAUUUUCCAUAAGGCAUCAAUAUUAUACUGUCAUAUAUGCAUAUGUAUCUGUAUUAUAUAUAUGUAUUCGCUUUUUAUAAAAAGUAAAAAGCUCUUCUUAGUCUCCUGUGUCCAAUAUAGGCACCAAAAAUAUAUUUAGAAAUUAAAUAAAGGCCACAAGUACUUCCCAAGGAAGAUCAUUAAAAAAGAAAACUCCUCUCUUCCUCUUGUCAUACAGCUAGCUGGCCUUCAAGACACGGCAGCUAAUAAAACGGUGUGACCCAUGAUGACAGGAAGACUAGACCGUUCCAUCUUUGGGUGGUAGCUGAAUUUCUAUUAGCAGUCCUAGCAAAAUAUAUAACUCCUCAUUUGUUCUAAGCAAGUCUUUUCUUCAGCUUUCCUUCAAACAAUACCUUUACUCUCCCAUUAGAAUAUGAAGACUUGGAGCUUCUGAACAGCAAUGUUCUGGGUGGGAAUCAGUCACUUUAAAUCAUGUGUUGGCUAUGCAGAGAGGGAAAGAUACAGGACAACAGCAGGGAAGGAGGAGAAAAGAAAUGUAAGUUCACACUGGGAGCACUGGAAGACAGCAAGACUUUCAAAGGUGUUGCCGGUAUCUCAUGAAGGCCCAGGCUGCAACCACGGUGAGGGCAAACACUGGCAGCAGCACCAUAGCUAUGGGAACACCACUUGGCUCCCCUUCACCUCGAUGUCCUAUAGGUCCAUUCUGCUCCUGUAACUGGAAGGGAAAGAAAAAUAUUAACUCUAGUGACUACAGUGUUCACCACAAUUGAAAUGUCAUGUUGACACAUCACCCAGGGUUGUAGUCUGUAGAGCACCCAAAGUGGUAAACUCAAGCAUUUCCUAUUGUCCUGAGCUUGUGCACCGUAGACACAGAUGUUUAAGGAAAAAAUAGGUCUGAGGGUUCCCCAAGGGCAAGUCAGAUGUACUCAGUUUCUGUACUGCCUCCAUCUCACUGCAUGUGUUUCAUAUCAGGAAAAUGGAGUUAUGAGAUGAAACCUAUGUAUCCUGUGAGGAACCUGGAUAUUACUAAGAAGGAGAAGGGAGAAGGAGAAUAUCUUCCUUGGAAUGUUUGCUUAUAUGAUUAUUAAUCAUCAGAAUGCAGUAAGAUCAGAUCAAGGAAAUGUAAAUAAAAGUGCAAUGCCAUCACUUGGAAAUGUUUUUCAGUUCCUGGAAGGUACCCCCUCCCUCCUAAGAUGAGGUGUUGUCCUUCAUGCCCUAAUUUAUAACACUAAGGUGAAACCUAUAUGGAAGAGAGGUUAAAGAAUGAGAGGGUGGCCCUUCUGACUAUCAACUUUUAAUGAUUAACUUGCAAUAAUUAUUGUGCUAUCUUGUUAGAUACCUCCUUGUGAUAACCUAUGAAACUUUAACCCCUCCAUCUGAAAGGUACAUAGUUAAACACUGUAGAAGCUAUAUACAACAAAUCCAAGGUUGACAUCAUUCUAAACAGAGAAAAAUUGAACACAUUCCCUCUAAAAACUGCAACAAGACAGGGUGGUCACUUUUACGACUUCCAUUCAACGUAGUCCUUGAAAUUCUAGCUGAAACAAUUAGGCAAAAGAAAGAAAUUAAAGGGACACAAGUAGGAAAAGAAGAGCUCAAACUAUAUGUGUUUGCGGACAACAUGAUCUUAUAUUUAGAAGACCAAAAAAACUCCACCAGAAAACUUUUAGAAAUUAUAAAUGAAUUCAGCAAAGUAGCAGGAUACAAAAUUAACACCCCAAAAUCAACUGCAUUCCUAUAUUACAACAAAUAGCUGAAAGAGAAAUUAGGAAAACUAUCCCAUUCACAAUAGUCCCAUGGGAAUCACUCUAACAAAAGAGGUAAAGAACUUCUACAAUGAAAACUUCAGAAUAGCAAAGAAAGAAAUUGAGGAAGACCUCAGAAGAUGGAAAGACCCUCCACAUUCUUGAAGAAGCAGAAUUAAUAUAUCAAAAUGGCCAUACUAUCAAAAGUGCUUUACAGAUUCAAUGCAAUUCUCAUCAAAAUUCCAAUGACAUUCCUCAUAUAAAUAAUAAAAAAAAGCAGUCAUGAAACUGAUCUGGAAAAUUAAGAGGCCCAGAAUAGCCAAAGCAAUCCUUAGCAAGGAAAAGCAAAGCAGGAGGCAUCACAGUACUAGACCUUAAAUUAUAGUACAGAGCUAUAGUAACAAAGCAGUAUGACAUUGGUACCAAAACAGAUAAGACGACCAACGGAACAGAAUAGAAGACACAGAGACAAACCCACAGAUUACAGUUACCUCAAACUUGAUAAAGGUGCCAAAAACAUAUAAUGGAAAAAAAAUAGCCUCUUCAAAAAAUGGUGCUGGGAAAACUGGAAAUCCCUACAUAAAUGAAAUUUAACCCCUAUCUCUCACCCUGCACAAAAUUCAACUCAAAGUGGAUCAAAGACCUAGGAAUUAGACCAGAAACCCUGCACCUACUAGAAGAAAAUGUAGGCCCACACUCCAACAUGUCAGCUCAGGAACUGACUUUCUUAACAAUACUCCUAAAGUGCAAAAAGUAAAAUCAAUAAUCAAUAAAUGGGAUGAUAUCAAAAUAGAAAGCUUCUCCACAGCAAAGGAAACAAUCAAGAGUAUGAAGAGACAGCCUACAGAAUGAGAGAAAAUCUUUGCCACCUGUACCUCAGAUAGGGUUUUAAUUUCCAGGAUAUACAAAGAACUCAAAAAGCUCAACACUAAAACAACCAAAUAACCCAAUCAAUAAAUGGGCAAAGUACUAAACAGAUACUUCCAAAAGAAGAAAUACAAAUGGUCAAUAAAUACAUGAAAAAAUGUUCAACAUCUCUAGAAAUUGGAGAAAUGCAAAUUAAAACUACACUGAGAUUCUAUCUCACUCCAAUCAGAAUGGCAAUUAUCAAGAAUACAAGUAACAAUAAAUAUUGGCAAGGAUGUGGGGAAAAAGGUACACUCACACAUUGAGUGAGACUGCAAAUUGGUACAACCACUCUGGAAAGCAGUAUGGAGAUUCCUCAAAACCUAGGAAUAGAACCACCAUUUGACCCAUUUAUCUCAACCUGGUUUAAAUCCAAAAGAUUUUAAAUCAGCAUAUUACAGUGAUGUUUAUAUCAAUGUUUAUAGCAGCACAAUUCACAAUACUAAGCUAUGGAACCAACCUAGAUGCUCUUCAACAGAUAAUGGACAAAGAAAAUGUGGUAUACAUACACAAUGGAGUAUUACUCAGUUAUAAAGAAGAAUGACUUUAUGACAUUUCUAAAUAAAUGGAUGGACCUGGAGACAACUAUUCUAAGUAAAAUAAACCAGUCCCAAAAAACCAAAGGUCGAAUGUUUUUGCUGAUAUGUGUAUACUAACCACAAUAAGUGGGAAGAGGAGAAAACAGAAGUUCAGUAGAUAAGGUAAAGAGGGAGAAAGGGAAGAGAGGGAAUAAAAGGAAAGACAGUGCAAUAAAUCCAAAACAAAUUUCCUAUGUACUUAUAUGAAUACACCAUCAUCAAUCCCACCAUCACGUACAUCACACAUGUACAUCCUAACUAGAAUAAGAUAUAUUUCAUGCUUGUAUAAUUAUAUCAAAAUUAAUUCUAUUGUCAUGUAUAACUAAAAAGAACCAAUAAAAAUUUUAUUAUGUAA